AACGAACGCUGGCGGCGUGCCUAACACAUGCAAGUCGAACGAGAAAUUACGCUUCGGCGUGAGAGUAAAGUGGCGCACGGGUGAGUAACGCGUGGGUAACCCACCCCUCAAACAGGGAUAACUCGCCGAAAGGCGUGCUAAUACCGGAUAUUGUCCCAGGGGCUCUGGCUCUUGGGAUGAAAGGUGGCCUCUUCUUGAAAGCUGCCGUUGAGGGACGGGCCCGCGUACCAUUAGCUAGUUGGUAGGGUAACGGCCUACCAAGGCGACGAUGGUUAGCUGGUCUGAGAGGAUGAUCAGCCACACUGGAGCUGGAACACGGUCCAGACUCCUACGGGAGGCAGCAGUGAGGAAUUUUGCGCAAUGGGGGAAACCCUGACGCAGCAACGCCGCGUGAGUGAAGAAGGCCUUCGGGUUGUAAAGCUCUGUCAAGUGGGAAAAACGUCCCACAGUGAAUAACUGUGGGAUCUGAUGUACUAC
rnacentral:rRNA from 1 species